rnacentral:rRNA from 1 species
GAUCCUGGCUCAGGAUGAACGCUAGCUACAGGCUUAACACAUGCAAGUCGAGGGGCGGCAUGGUCUUAGCUUGCUAAGGCCGAUGGCGACCGGCGCACGGGUGNGUAACGCGUAUCCAACCUGCCUUACACUCUUGGACAGCCUUCUGAAAGGGAGAUUAAUACAAGAUGUUAUCAUGAGUAAGCAUUUUCGCAUGAUUAAAGGUUUACCGGUGUAAGAUGGGGAUGCGUUCCAUUAG